CAAGCUCGAAUUGUGACCUGUGCUGGCGCCUUUUAGCACAAGUUGACUGUUCUAAUUUGUCACUAUAAAGCAAUGAAGACAAGGAUGUUUGAACAAUCAUGAUAUCACCAUCAAUCUAAGAUUGUGAUUUAUAGCUAUCAAGAGCUUCAGUUUGCCGAUAUUUUAGAAAUACCUCACUCAAAACUCGUCAAUACUCUCACAGUUGACAAGAACUAGGGGAAUGUGAGAAAACGCGCAAUAGUUGAAUAUCAAAAGCUGAUGGGCACUGUUGCAUACUAUAAACAUACCAAAGACUCAAUCGAUGGUGCCAGUCGCGGAUCAGAACACCAAAACUGAGGUUCAUCUUCCAUGGAAACGAAUCCUCCCCUUUUUACUUAGUCAUAAGGGCCUUCUUCUCUGAACCCAAGCUGGAGAACACAGGCACUUCUUACUAGAAUAACCAUCUGGAAGAUUAGGGAUCUUCUCCUGAUCACUGAAUAUCUCCAAAAAAUCUGGUCACUAUUUCACAGAGAAACUAGGACGCAACACUCACACAUGACGGAAACACAAUAAUAUCAGCCAGCCAGUCUCUGUUGCUGUCAUACGUGACGCUUCGAGGUGUUGGCCUGUGCCUUCAGGUAACUCCCCUUCCCAUUGAUACGGUAUAAAACCAGGAGAAAGAGAUAAAGAAACACUUUUUAUCAUCUAUGAUUUUCUGCUAUUCCGGUUUUGGAUGGCAAAUUCCACCCGUCAAUUGUGUUGUAUACCGAUAUUCGAAACUCUCAAGAGGAAUGGACGGAUGGUUACUGGGUCUAGGGUGACUCAAGGACCGUUCUGAUACUUCUUUUCGCAAAUCCGUUGUUGUAAUUACGUCUCUGUCUGAAAGCCUACGAGGCUACUACAAAAUGAAAACCUCGUCCAUUAUACAAUUAUUUAUGUAUACACAGAUGCCCUGUGAGGUUAUCCCGGUAGGGAUUAAAUCAAAACUCAAACAUCCACAACAUCCCGCGGCUAUACCAAAGCAUGGCGCAAUAUUUGACACAGUGUUUCCUGACACGUGGUGUGUUGAAUGAUUCAUCAAUCACUCACGCGGGUUUUGCGGAAAAGAGAGCGAGAAUAUUUAACACUCACAGCUUGUGACUUAGCCAUAUGUUGGCGCGAGAACUGAGAAAUUACCUUCCUCAUCCUAAGAUUGGCUACAUUGCUAGUUUUCGAUCUAUUUAUAAAUGACACUUGAUCUGCUUUUCACCCUAUUCUCCUGGAAUUUUGUUCCUGACUGCAGAAAGAAGCCAGUUGGUUGGAGAGCGAAACAGGGGGAACUCCAAUACUUUCAUGUCCUUCAAAGCAGCCAAGUCAAAUAGGCAGUUUCUAUAAUGCCUAUACCAAAUAGCAAGCACCAAGGUUCGGGAUAAUUGUUAUGGUCAAACGGUCCGUCGGUUGCAUGCUACCGUACAGUGCAUUAUGCAUGGUUUCAGCUUUCAUCAAUUUCCAAAUCUUCAGGGGGCUAAAGUCAAGAAGGAGUGGUUGAAGACCUAUUGAAAAUAUGUCAUUGAAAAUCUUGAUGUGCUUUCCCGCAAGUACGUACAGAGUUACUUUACUUUUUAAAGGGAUUUCAAAACAUAUGUAUGUUUUGUUUGCAACAAUUAUUCCUUUCAUCUAAGCUAAUUUGGUACCUGCUAUGUCGACCGUUAGAACUGAGCUCAAAGAAGAGAAGCAGGCCACUUGCAGUCCAAGCCCAGUAUGAAUAAUACUCAAAUCAUCUACAGCACACCUAAUAUAGCUUGGAUCAUGAUGCUGGAUUUCAAUUCGAUCAGUGUUUGUUUGCGCAGCUCUCAUCGAUUUCAGGAAAACCAUGACUUAUCACUUACAGUUCACGCUAUGGCAUUAGCUACUUGAAUACAUACAAAUGAUCAAUGGGU
rnacentral:sRNA from 2 species